UCUAUCCUAGCACAAAAAUAAAAAUUAAUCUUCCUCUGGAUUAACAAGAACAUCCCAAAAUUAAAAUGGAGGUUUGAGCAGCGCACACAGAGUGGGCAGGCAAUAUGCAAAAAAGAUGACCUUCUCGAAAAUCCAAAGCGCCUCUCCUGCAGGCAAGGCAAGAUAUCAAAGCUGAAGUGGCUGUAAGGUGGAGCACUUUGACAGGCUGGUCAAGCAGCUGAAAGCAACUACUGAGGACACACAGAGAGAAGGAUUCAGAAAGCCGGAAAAGCCAUCAUAUUUAAAACCAAGAUCUGGCAGCCUAAGAAUUUGCCAGCCAGGAUGAAAAACUUCUAAUGGAAUCCAGCUUGAAAGCCAGUCAAGAGCUGCUAAGUGAGCAAGAGACAGAAACACUUCGCCCAGACCAGUAGAAAAAUCACAGGCAGAGCUGAAGCCACUGAGAGAACGCAUUAUAGAUUCUCAUGGAGAAAUUAGUGAUUACAAGUUUGAAGCUGAGCCUCCCAAGGGAAACAGAACAUAGAACAGAACUUAUAACAGGCAAGUUCUUGGGCUUCAGAAGCUUAUCACAAACCUGGAAGCAAAUACAGUGAAUCACAGAUGGCGGAAGAACACUUUCAUGGCCUCUAUUCCUUUGCUUGUGAUCCAGCUUGCAUAACAUUGUAAAAUGUGGCCUAAAAUCACUGCAUACUUCUGUGAACUUUUAACACU